UACUACUACUACUACUACUACUACUACUACUACUACUACGUUUGUUAUUUCCUUGUUCUUGCUAUACCACUGUUUAACUAUUUACGUAACUGGUGGGUUUAGUAGUCGAACAAAGUGAUCGGCCUUAGAAACUAAACAAACCUGCACAGUUCAUCUGAUGAUGUAUACACGAACCUCUUGAUUAUUCACUCUGCGCCAGUCAGUCAGCGAUCAUUGUUUAAAUUGAGCACAUCGCAUAUUUUGGUUACUUUCUCUGCUUUGUUAAUAACAGAGAGAAAGAAAGAAGUGUUAAGCAAAUAACAAUAAAUACAUCAGCUUUCGAUAUUCAACAUCCGAUGUAAUAGAAAUUUAUAUCCAUCACUAAUACUGGACUAAGGAAGGAAUAACUUUCCGUCUAAAAUUAUACGUUUCAUCAAAUAAUAUAUUUAUCGUUUUUUUUUUAAUUGAAAUGUCUGAAAAGCCUAAUGUUAUUAGUCAUAAUAAAAGAUUGACUGAGAAUUUUCUAGAUAAAUACAGACGGCAACCAGGGGAAACCCCGAAAGAUGAAGUGGAUGGUUCGAAAGACUGGUGCUACGACUGUUUCGUUCAUUAUGAUAAAAACAAAGACGGAUUUUUGAAUUUGGAUGAAUUUACCGAAAUGCUUAAGGACAUUUUCCCUGAAUCGGACAGCUGUGCAGCUUCUAUAUCCAGAGAAUUGCUAGAACUUUUAGAUGAAGAUGGAGAUCAUCUGUUGGGUAGACAGGAAAAUCGAUGGCAAGUAUGGCUAAACCGAGUAAUAAGACCAAUUUCUGCUAUUUUGAUCAUAGAUGUCCAAAACGAUUUUAUCGACGGAACGUUAUCAUUAAAGAAAUGUCCUGCAGGUCAGAAUGGAGCAGAUGUCGUCCCUGUAAUUAACAAACUUAUUAAGUCGGUAAAAUUUGAUUUGGUGGUGUAUUCAUUGGACUGGCAUGAUGACAAACAUAUAUCUUUUAUCGACAAUCUACGUACAAGAACUUUACACUCCAGCUUUACUCGUUCUGUUGAAGAAAUCCAGUUGUAUGACAAAGUAACUUUUAGCUUGCCAGCAGCUCAGUCUCAGGUACUUUGGCCACGGCAUUGUGUCCGGGGAACUUGGGGUGCCCAAUUACAUCGAGAAUUAUAUGUCGCGCCGGGUUCAGUGCAGGUGUUUAAGGGCACUGACACCGACGUGGACAGCUACUCGGCUUUUUUCGACAACAACAGAGCUUCCCAAACACAGCUGUUUUCCAUCUUGCAGAGCCACAACGUGACCGAUGUUUAUGUCUGCGGAAUUGCCUAUGACGUGUGUGUUAAGUACACAGCCUUAGAUGCCCUUCAUUUGGGCUUUCAGACCCACCUAAUUGACGAUGCAUCCAAAGGAGUUAAACUGGAAGAUAUUGAGACAACUAAAACGGAUUUAGUAGAGAAGGGUUGUUGUUUACUACAAUCUCAACAGAUUUCCGAAAAUUUAUCGAAGGCAUUCCAGAAUAUUGACCGCGGACUAUGGAUUGCUCGGGCACUUUCCAAUGUGUCAUGUGUAUCGUAACGAUAUUGCUGGUGAGACUCAUUUCAAAUUCUCAUUUUAUCACUUUCACUCUUUAUAUUCUUCCUUCCUUCUUUCUCUUUCUCUUUCACACAUCUGUUUCUCUCUUUAUUAAAAUAUUCAUGUAGUUCAUCCGUAAAGUUUUCAUUCGACUGUUUACAGUUCUGUCGACGGAUAUUUUAGUACUUGGACCUAUUGAUUGUUUAGAACCCGGUCAAUCAUGAUUGAGCAUAUUUCAAUCGUGACUAUCCCGUCUUUUAAAUAUACGUUAUCUGAUGUUGUUUUUCUUUAUUUAAGACUAAAAAAGGUAUGACUUUAGCCGUUAUUUCUAGUAGAUGGAACAACCACAUAAAGAAGAUCCCUUGUCGAUUGUACAUGUGAGUGUGUGUGUGUGUGUGCUCGUCAUGCUUUAAAUAUGCAUUAUUAUAACUAAGUUGUGAUACUAGGUACUAAGGUGCGCGCACUCGGGCAUCCGCGCUAGCUAGUCGUGACUAGUCGAUCCUACCACGACUACCUAGCAAAGUAAAUAAAACACAAAAUAAAUAAAUUCUUUUACUCAAAGUAAAUAAUUUUUUUAAAAACAAAGUAAAUAAAACACAAAAACACAAAGUAAGGAUCGACUAGUCACGACUAGCUAGCGCGGAUACGAGAGUACGCGAGUGCGCGCACCGGGACCACUCUUUUUUAGUAGUACCGUGAUACUAUAAUGAUUUGCUACACACUUACUCACGCAUGCAUGCACUCACUCAUACAGACACACACACGCACAUGCACACACUCACACGCACACACACACACACACACACACACACACACACACACACACACACACACACACACACACAGAGUAUUGCAGUUAAAUGAGUAAUACGGUUCAUGCUAUUCACGCACCUAGUAACAUUAACUACCAUCAUCGUUGUCGACGUAAUCGUCCUCUUCUUCUCCAUCAUCAUCGUCCUC
rnacentral:lncRNA from 1 species